rnacentral:lncRNA from 1 species
AUCCUCAAACUCAUGAGAGGUGACUGUAGAAUGGCCACUAAAAAGAAUGAAAGAGUUAAUCUCACAGGAGGAAGUGACCCGGAAGGAAAGGAGACCAUUAUACUGCAAAAGGCUUGGAGAAGGACUGCCCUGCCAUCCCUUCAGGUCUCUCUGUGAUUGUGCCCUUGGAACUAAGGGGAAGUUCAGCUUCCUGCAGAGGGCACUUUCUGUGUGAAUCCAUGUUUGGUAGCACCCUAGAUAGCUGGUAUCAUGCUGCCACGCAAAGGACAUUUAUUUGUGUAGCUUUUUUUUUUUUUUUUUUUUAGCCGCGACACGUGGCUUGCGGGAUCUUAAUUCCCCGACCAGGGAUCGAACCUGCGUCCCCCUGCAGUGGAAGCACGGAGUCCUAACAACUGGACCGCCAGGGAAUUCCCUGUUUAGCAUUUAGGAAGAAGAGAUGGAUUCAAAAGUUGAAGGAAGUACCGCGUGGAUGGAGCCCGCAGAUACUGCCCCUUCAUGAGAUUCAGCAAAGUUCCUGAAAACGGGUCAGCAAAAGGGCACUCUGUUUUCCCAAAGCUGCCAUCCCGUUACAACACCUUUUAGCUUCAGAGCUCAUCUUCCAGGUCCUCGUCUAUGCUGACCUUCCCAGGAGAGGUCAGAAGCAUGGAACAUGGGUCCUGUUUUAGAGAUUUUUUUUUAAGGCAAGUGGCAGGAAGACCUUUAGAUGUGAAUGGGCAGAAACAGGAAAAGAAUCGAGGAUUCCUGGUUCCAAGUUCAAAUACUCCAGCACCCUUUGAACACAGGGGCUCCAGGAAGAAUGGACAUUCUUGUCCCAGCUGUUGUGGCACAGGAUGUAGAAGUUGGGGCUCCUAGCUGGCUCAUUAGUACCUCUUCUUCCCUAUCAACCCUCUGCCACAGCCUCGCAGGGGCUCCUUGCUCAUGCAUCUUGACCACUCACAGCCCUCAUCAUCUCAGACAAAGAAGAGACGUGGGCACUAAGGAAGGAAAUGGCAGGAGGGAAUGGAGGGGAGAUGUCAUUCUGCUUCAUACUCACCUGCCACCUCCCCAGCGUGUGGCUGAAAGACGAGAACUCUGAUGCUUUUCUUGAGGACACAACAGGAAGACAUCACACAAAAGCCCAGGGGCUGGAGACACAGGCCGGAUAUUCACUCAGGGGACAGAAUGGAGAGGCAGAGCACUCCAACUUCAGAUCCCACAGGCAGAGAUGGCACUGAGGAGACGAAAGCUGACCUGAGCCAGGCUCUGGUAUGGCCGUGUGCGACUUGGGGUGACAAGAAGGAACUGACUCCGACCCAAGGGCUGCAGACACCUCAGAGGAACCCGAGUUUGGUAGCAGAAGAUGUCAUGGCUGAGAGCAUUCUCUCUUCAGGUCCACUGGGUACUGUCAGCGAUUGUGGUCUCAAGAUCCAAUUACCCCGUGAAAGCUGCAAGGCAAUUCAGUCCCAGGCCACCUCGGUCGGUUGUGCUCUCUUCCUGAAGCUGCCUGUGGCGUCAACCAGUCAUGGAUAAAGGAGCCUCUGAAGUCACUCCCAGGACGCCCCACCCAUCGUCAGAAGGAUGACAGAUGAAUACCUAAAACCCUCCCUGGCCUCCAAAAACAUAAUGAGUUUUUUACUCGGUAGGCAACUGGGGAGGCACAGAAAUGAUGUGGAUUUGUCCAAAUGGCUAUGGAUGCUGACACGAGCUGCACCAGGAUGGAGUUGGCCAUUGCCAAAAAGUCGUAUAACCUACCUGCUUAUGCCUAUCUGUAAUUUUGGAAAAUGAAAAAAAAUGUAGAGGACUUCCCUGGUGGCACAGUGGUUGAGAAUCCGCCUGCCAAUGCAGGGGACACGGGUUCGAGCCCUGGUCCAGGAAGAUCCCACAUACUGUGGGGCAGCUAAGCCCGUGCACCACAACUACUGAGCCUGAGCUCUAGAGCCCAUGAGGCACAACUACUGAGCACGCGUGCCACAACUUCUGAAGCCCGUGCACCUAGAGCCCGUGCUCCACAAUAAGAGAAGCCACCGCAAUGAGAAGUCCGCGCACUGCAAUGAAGAGUAGCCCCCGCUCGCUGCAACUAGAGAAAGCCCGUGUGCAGCAACGAAGAUCCAACACAGCCAUAAAUCAAUAAAUAAUUGUAGAAUAACAAACUCCUCCCUUGUUUCACCUGUUAAAAUAAAAGGUGCCUGUCACU